AAUCCUGGUGAUGACAGAUGACAUUGUCAGCCAAUCCCCACAAGGGAAUGAGGACAUGUCCUGCAAUUCUGAUUGGAUU
ensembl:snoRNA SNORD96 Small nucleolar RNA SNORD96 family